rnacentral:rRNA from 1 species
GACGUGGGUAACCUGCCUCAUACAGGGGGAUAGCAGCUGGAAACGGCUGAUAAAACCGCAUAAGCGCACAGCAUCGCAUGAUGCAGUGUGAAAAACUCCGGUGGUAUGAGAUGGACCCGCGUCUGAUUAGCUGGUUGGUGAGGUAACGGCCCACCAAGGCGACGAUCAGUAGCCGGCCUGAGAGGGUGACCGGCCACAUUGGGACUGAGACACGGCCCAA